rnacentral:rRNA from 1 species
GACGAACGCUGGCGGCGUGCCUAAUACAUGCAAGUUGAGCGCUGAAGGUUGGUACUUGUACCAACUGGAUGAGCAGCGAACGGGUGAGUAACGCGUGGGGAAUCUGCCUUUGAGCGGGGGACAACAUUUGGAAACGAAUGCUAAUACCGCAUAAAAACUUUAAACACAAGUUUUAAGUUUGAAAGAUGCAAUUGCAUCACUCAAAGAUGAUCCCGCGUUGUAUUAGCUAGUUGGUGAGGUAAAGGCUCACCAAGGCGAUGAUACAUAGCCGACCUGAGAGGGUGAUCGGCCACAUUGGGACUGAGACACGGCCCAAACUCCUACGGGAGGCAGCAGUAGGGAAUCUUCGGCAAUGGACGAAAGUCUGACCGAGCAACGCCGCGUGAGUGAAGAAGGUUUUCGGAUCGUAAAACUCUGUUGGUAGAGAAGAACGUUGGUGAGAGUGGAAAGCUCAUCAAGUGACGGUAACUACCUAGAAAGAGACGGCUAACUACGUG